UACGUAGGGGGCAAGCGUUAUCCGGAUUUACUGGGUGUAAAGGGAGAGUAGGUGGCAGAGCAAGUCCGAAGUGAAAACCCAAAGCUCAACUAUGGGAAUGCUUUAGAAACUGCUCAGCUAGAGUGCAGGAGAGGCAAGUGGAAUUCUUAGUGUAGCGGUGAAAUGCGUAGAUAUAAGGAGGAACACCAGUGGCGAAGGCGGCCUGCUGGACGAUGACUGACGUUGAGGCUCGAAAGCGUGGGGAGCAAACAGG
rnacentral:rRNA from 1 species